rnacentral:rRNA from 1 species
GUUUCAGCCGCCGCGGUAAUACGAAGGGGGCUAGCGUUGUUCGGAUUUACUGGGCGUAAAGCGCGUGUAGGCGGGUCGUUAAGUUGGGGGUGAAAUCCCGAGGCUCAACCUCGGAACUGCCUUCAAAACUGGCGACCUGGACUCAAGCAGAGGCAAGUGGAAUUGCGAGUGUAGAGGUGAAAUUCGUAGAUAUUCGCAGGAACACCAGUGGCGAAGGCGACUUGCUGGGCUUGUGGUGACGCUGAGACGCGAAAGCGUGGGGAGCAAACAGGAUUAGAAACCCCCGUAGUCC